CUCCAACCAGCCACCACGCUUCCUGAACUACUUCUUCUCGACCUACCUACUCAUCUAUGAAGAUACGCCAGUCGGUUCCUCAGUGACCCAGCUGAAGGCCUCGGAUCCGGAGGGGGAACCUCUUGUGUACGGUGUUUCAGGAGAAGAGGCCAUGCGAUAUUUCUCUGUGAACAGUGUGACUGGUGUGGUCUGGCUUCGACAGCAGCUCGACCGAGAGAGCAAGUCAGAGAUGCAGGUCGAAUUCUCCGUGAGUGACAUUCAGGAGGUCGUCAAAGACACAGUAAACAUCCAGAUUGGAGACGUGAACGAUAACGCACCAGUCUUCCAUGGGCAGCCGUACACCGUCCACAUCCCAG